UCAAAAUACGAGACCUUUAAGAAAAAUAUUCAGUAAACAAAACCAGUGUCUGCUCUAAGGAAUCAACAACUGGAUUAUCCUUUUCCCCUAAAAUGUGUAAUGCUACGAUUAAAUUGUGUUCAGAAGGAUUAAGGGACAGACACAACACAAGCAUUAUUUUUAUCACAACACUCGCACAGUUAAUGCUUUGUGUAACCUAGACACACCUUGCCUCUUUACUAACUUUUUCUAGACAGCGGGAUGUGCACCAGAAUGGAUUUAUGGUGCAACUUGUCUUUUUUCAGGCUCACUGUUUGCUCUCAAGAUGUGUGGUCUUCAGGUGCUUGAGCCAAUUGCUUGUGUUGCUGCUGUGGAAAACUGUUUUGUCACACACUUGGCACCUUGCCGUAUUUUUAUCGGGUGGUGUAAGAUAACAUCAUACGAUGCUUUGCUGUCUGCCAUUUCCCAGAAUUCACGCUCAGUAAACUAGCUGCUCUUAAUAUUUCAAGACAUCUGGGAAUUUAAAUGUGGAAAAAUGGCAUAAGUUUUCUCCUUUAAGAGUUUCCACUAUAAAUACAAUAUUAUCUCUAAAAUGUGAGACAGUGUGCAUGUUGAUGGCUACAUUUCUGGAAUAUUUUAUUUGCAUCCCACUUAACAUUAUCUUCAGUAUGGACAUGGAUGCCUGAGUGCAUAUUUAGGUCCAGACAUGUUGGAUGCUGCAUCCAAAUGUGACUCGUCUGGUCUUUGCCUCAUCUCAGCUCAUCUCUCUCAGCUCAUGCAGCCUCUUCCUCAUCCCUGCAGCUUCCCCGAAAAGUUUUUUUUUUUUUUUCCUCUGGGUCAGCGGUCUCUGAGGGCUUCCAUUUAGGCUGUGGCUGGUCACCCCUGCCUCAGAUUCAUGUUGGAGCACUGGGCCAAUUCGCACGGAUUUGCUCUGGCAUGUUCACUAGGCUGUGUUAAAGGUCUCAGAGAAACAAAGUGUGACACGCAUGCUAAGGCAAUACAUGCGGAUUCACAGCAGUGUGGUUACUUGCUUCACUGAUGCUUUCUCCUUCCUGGCCUUUGUCCACCCGACAACAGGGACUCAAAAGCACCUCCAGGAAGUGAGACCAUGCUGCUGCAAUGCAAUCACCUCCAUCACUCACCUCACUCUGGAAAUGGACCUUCACAACGGCUGAGGCCACUGGGGUCGAUCAAUCUGUGAAGCCAUCCAUCUUCCCACUUGAGAGUUCAUAUCCUUGAGAUGCUGCCAACGUACCAAGCGCUGAUGACGGUCAUAGACAACCACAAUCUUACACUCGUCUCACUUUGUGACACAUCAUAUCUCUGAAUCGUUUACCCUCAGAGUAAAAGACCGGGUACUCCAGUUUCCUACCACAUCCCAAAAAUAUGCACGGUAGAUUUGAAAAGACACUUUCACACCCCACACCCACCCAGCCGCACCACCAGCGACCACCAUCACACCUCCGAUUCCCACUUCUGCAUUGAACAAAUGUUAGAGGUAUCUUCAAAAAACAAAAGAUCAACAAAGUGGCGGGCCCAGAACUUGUGUCCUCAUCCUGCCUGACAGUUGACGCGGACCAGCUCGCUCCAGUCUUCAAAGAGACAUUCAAUAGAUCUCUGGAACUUUGUGAAGGACCAUCCUGUUUCAAACACUCCACCAUCAUCCCGGUCCCCAAAAACCUGCAAUCUUGGAUCUGAACAACUACAGGCCUGUUGGCCUCACAUCUAUGGCCAAUAAAGUCCUUUGAACGCAUCGUGCUGGACCACUUCAAGAGUGACACAGGAGCCCUGCUGGGCUCAAGAUGGGACUUCUCUUUAUCCUAGAACACAUCGACGGCGCAGGGACCUACACAAGGAUCCUGUUUGUGAACUUCAGCUCUGCAUUCAACAUCAUCAUUGCCGAACUACUCUCCUCCAAGUGGCUCAGCGUCUCACCUGCCAUCUGCCAGUGGAUUUACAGCUUCCUGAUGGGCAGGACACAGCAGGUGAGGCUGGCGGACACCACCUUAUCCACAAGCACCAUCAACACUGGAACGCCCCAAGGAUGCGUCCUCUCUCCGUUACUCUUCUCUCUCUCUACAUGAACGACUGCACCUUAACACACCUGGCUGUCAAACUCCUAAAGUUUGCAGACGACACCACAGUCAUCGGCCUAAUCAAAGACGUUGACGAGUCUGAGUAUUGAGAGGAAGUGGAGUGGCUGGAGCUUUGGUACGGCCGACACAACCUGGAGCUGAAAACGCUCAAGACGGUAGAGAUGAUCGUGGACUUCAGGAAACAUCCUUCGCCACAGCUGCCCCUUACGCUGCCCUGUGUCAAUCGUCGAGACCUUCAAAUUCCUGGGAACUAUAGUCUCUCAGGACCUGAAGUGGGAGAUCAACAUCAACACCAUCCUCAAAACGGCCCAGUCGAGGCAUUUGAGGAAGCAAGGCCUGCCAGAGGAGCUGUUGAGGCAGUUCUACACAGCAGUCAUUGAAUCAGUCCUGUGUUCAUCCCUUACAGUCUAGUUUGGUGUUGCUACAAAGCACAAACUCCGACUGAAAUGAACAGUCAGGACUGCCCAAAAAAUCUUCAGGACCCCCCUACUCACUGUUGAGGACUUGCACGCUGCCAGAACUAAGACAACAGCAAGCAAAAUCCUCUUGGACCCUCCAUGUCCUGUUCACCAUCUCUUCCAGCUCCUUCCCUCAAGGUAGGCGUUAUCGAUUAAUGCAAACUAAAACCAGCUGACAUUCCAACAGCUUCUACUCUCUUGCCAUCAACUUCUUCAACAGUUGACUUACAGUUUCAUUGUAACAUGCUGCCAGUUAUGCACAUCUCUAUUGAGACUCUACUUCAUUAUUCGUGCACUAAUUGUAGUAGUCUCAUCACUCUGCACUAUUUGCAUAUCUGUUGUUGACCAGUACUGGCCACACAUGUGCUUGAAAACUAUCUGCACCAUUUCCACAAUUUGCACUGUAAAAAAUUAACACUCUAUUAGUCACUUCGAACUGCUCGAAAUUCUUUGAGGACUGCAUCAUUUGCACAAUUGUCAUUGUAUCAGCAUUAUCACUUUACUGGUAACCUUUCAUUGCUCAAUGACUCCGUAAUGUGUUUUUAUGUCCUAAAAGUAUAUUUUGCCACAGUGGCUGUCUGUUGUCAUUCUAGAGUGGCUCCAACUACCGGAGAUAAAUUCCUUGUGUGUUUUUGACUUACUUAACAAAUAAAGAUGAUUCUGAUUCUGAUGUACUGAACCCACACUGCUGAGAUGGAAGUUUUUUCUUGCCGGAUUUGGGGGUUUAGAUUAGGGGAUGUC